rnacentral:miRNA from 8 species
AUGGCUGUGGAUCAAGUCCAUG